UACGGGGGGGGGCAAGCGUUGUUCGGAAUUACUGGGCGUAAAGGGCUCGUAGGUGGCCAACUAAGUCAGACGUGAAAUCCCUCAGCUUAACUGGGGAACUGCGUCUGAUACUGGAUGGCUUGAGUUUGGGAGAGGGAUGCGGAAUUCCAGGUGUAGCGGUGAAAUGCGUAGAUAUCUGGAGGAAUACCGGUGGCGAAGGCGGCAUCCUGGACCGACAUUGACGCUGAGGAGCGAAAGCUAGGGGAGCAAACGGG
rnacentral:rRNA from 1 species